rnacentral:rRNA from 1 species
AGGAUGAACGCUGGCGGUCUGCUUAACACAUGCAAGUCGAACGGGCGUAGCAAUACGUUAGUGGCGGACGGGUGAGUAACGCGUGAGAAUCUACCUUCAGGACGGAGACAACAGUUGGAAACGACUGCUAACCCCCGAUGUACUGAAAAGGCAAAUAUUUAUAGCCUGAAGAAGAGCUCGCGUCCGAUUAGCUAGUUGGAGAGGUAAAAGCUCACCAAGGCGACGAUCGGUAGCUGGUCUGAGAGGACGAUCAGCCACACUGGGACUGAGACACGGCCCAGACUCCUACGGGAGGCAGCAGUGGGGAAUUUUCCGCAAUGGGCGAAAGCCUGACGGAGCAAGACCGCGUGGGGGAAGAAGGCUCUUGGGUUGUAAACCUCUUUUCUGGGAAGACAAAAUGACGUACCAAGGAAUCAGCAUCGGCUAACUCGCGCCAGCAGCCGC